GGGUUCUCAGUACAAACUCACGGGUACCUCAGGCCCAUCUGUCACAUCUCUAUCUGACAUCCUGAUGGUCGGUUCUCCAGAGAACAGCUCUCUCUGGAAUGGGUCCAUGCCAGAACUGUGUUCCAGAGUUCCAGAGUGUUUCAGAGUUCUCAUCUGUCUGAUUGGGUUCCAUGGUGCCAACCCCCUUGCUUAGCUGGACUACCCUUCACUACCCCCGACCCUCUCAGGUGAGUGGUGUCACUCUGGUCUCCCCUCUCAAGUGAGUGGUGUCUCUCUGGUCUCCCCUCCUCACACUUACACACCAAACAGCACCUCCUGCCAGACCCCGUCUCAAGUGUUCCUCCCAUCUACUAAAUGAAGGCAGGCCUAUGGGAUCAAUUCAGAAGUACCUGGCUGUGAACUGUGUGUGUGUGUGGAGUGUGUUAGCAGAGAUGCACAUCAGUGUGGAGGCUUUUCUCUUUGAGACCACUCCUAUCACACACAGCAGUCUGAAGAGUGACAUGCACCUGGAGGAUGGACCUUGGGUGACCAGGUGUCAGUCUGAAGAGUUACAGACCUGGAGGAUGGACCUUGAGUGACUAGGUAUCCCGCUUUGCAUUGUACCUCACGGCAUUUUGUCCCUUUGUCUCGCGUAUUGAGAAAAAUGUCCCAUAUUUCUAAUUUGUUAUUUGGUUUUUAAUUGUCGUAAAAAAUGAGAACAGAUGAAUGCGUUCUGUUACCUGCCCGGCACAUGAGCUGCUUGUGCUGUUGCAUCCUAACAGCGCGAGGUCAGUAGUUUUUACUCUAUCAAAUAGCGCUAGCUCAGUAGUUUCUACUCUAUCUAAUAGCGCUAGCUCAGUAGUUUCUACUCUAUCUAAUAGCGCUAGGUCAGAAGCAGCACUCUGGCUCAUACAAAUGCAACGUAGCCAAGGUUUUCUAAAAGCUUUCAGCCAAUGGCCGUGCAGACGUGGAACUCCUCUGCUAUGACACAAAAACCAAACUUGCACAAACUUUUUCAGAUAAAGAUUCUAUCUUUCAUGUAGCAAAAGCUGUAGUCCAAUCCUGUGUCUUUUACUGCCCGGUGCUGUGGAAUCGACUAGAGGACAAAGUACAGGUGUUUACAAGUCGAAAGGCAGAAUACAAAUUAUUCAGUUAGACAUUAUAUCAAAGUUUUAAGUUACCUCUCAGUGUUGGUAACAUGUCCCACAUUGUCCCACACAAACGUAUUACUUGUUCUGCAUUUGGUGUGUUUGCAUAUGGUCACCCUAGAUCAGUCAAUCAUGAUUUACACAAAGAGUUCAAUUUCGCUGGUGUCCUCUAUAGACCACUACGUCUACAGCACUAUCCCAAUGGGGAAAGGUCACCUUAAGCCCCAUAGGUCCUCUACAGACCACUACAUAUACAGCACUAUCCCAAUGGGUAGAUGUCACCUUACGCCCCAUAGGUCCUCUACAGACCACUACAUAUACAGCACUAUCCCAAUGGGUAGAUGUCACCUUACGCCCCAUAGGUCCUCUACAGACCACUACAUAUACAGCACUAUCCCAAUGGGGAAAGGUCACCUUAAGCCCCAUAGGUCAUUGCAAUGAUGAGGGAAAGAGCUGUGCAGACUGCUAGUGAGGCUAUGCUGUGCAGACUGCUAGUGGUGCUAUGCUUACAACUCCUCCCUUUUGGAUGCUUCAAGCACAGGUGUGGAAUCCCAUUAUACUGAACUCUUAACACGAUACGUUACUGCAGAACACAAGGUCUUACUGCAAAACACAAUAUGUUACUGCAGAACACAAUACGUUACUGCAGAACACAAGAUCUUACUGCAGAACACAAGAUCUUACUGCAGAACACGAUAUGUAACUGCAGAACACAAGAUCUUACUGCAGAACACGAUAUGUAACUGCAGAACACAAGAUCUUACUGCAGAACACGAUAUUUUACUGCAGAACACAAUACGUUACUGCAGAACAAGAUACGUUACUGCAGAACACAAUACGUUACUGCAGAACACAAGAUCUUACUGCAGAACACGAUAUGUAACUGCAGAACACAAGAUCUUACUGCAGAACACGAUAUUUUACUGCAGAACACAAUACGUUACUGCAGAACAAGAUACGUUACUGCAGAACACAAUACGUUACUGCAGAACACAAGAUCUUACUGCAGAACACGAUAGGUUACUGCAGAAUGAGUAAAUGCACUUGGACCACUCACAAUGCAUUUGGCUACUAUAGGGAUGUAGCACUGAUUUAGAAAAAAACUGUGAUGUUUUCCUUUAAUGAUGUAUUACAACUUCUCAUUUUUUGUAAGGAUGUCAGUGAGGUGACCAGGGACAUGCCCUUUAAGGAUGUCAGUGAGGUGACGAGUGAAAUGCCUUUAGGCGCAGAAUCACAAGGGUAGCAAGACAUCAAAUGAAGCACCUGUACUGACCGUCAGUUCACUAUUUUACACGAGGGAUCGUCAUCCUGUACCGUCCACGACACCAGAUCAGAUCAUGCACCAGUGGACUCAUGCUUCCCUGUCCAUGCGUUUACCCAAUAGUCCCACAGCGUCACACGAGCUCACAAAUACACAACACUGCAGUCGUCAUGCAUCUAUGGUGAUUACAUGAUUACGUCCUCUCACUUACACUGUCUCACAGCAGUCACACACACACACACACACACACACAUAUAGGCAUGCAUCGUCUUUACUCCACUUCCUGAUAUGAAUUACAUUUCUAGCAGAU